CCCGCCGGCAGGGGGCGCUCGUGCGGCGGAAGCGGAGCGGAGGGGCGAUGUCGCGGGCGGAGCGGCCGGCGCUGCGGCGCGGCUCCCCGAGCUGUCCCGACCUGCUGCGGGACGGGGGCGGCUCGCCGCUCACCCCGUUCUUCCGUAGUUUCUUCGAGGAUGAGUGCCGUCUCAUCGCCGCCCGCCUGCUCACGAGCUCCGCCGCCACUCCCGGCCCUUCUCCCGGCCCGGCGGAGAGCAGCGCGCUGUGGCCGCCCGCCGCCGGCCUCGUCACCUCCACGCCCCUCGAGUCCUCGCCGCCCCCCGCCGCGGGCAGCCCGUCCGGAGCCGCUCUCCUCGGCCGCCCCCGCGGGGAACCGCGGCGCCUUCCUCUGCCCCGGGCCGGGGGGUGCUCCCGCUUGGCCCGCCCGCAGCCCCGCCGGGCCGGGCAGCUUCCCCCCGGCCGGCCCCCAGCCCGCUCCCCGGGCCGUGCCGGUGGAAGGCCGUCCCUGGCCCGGCCGCGGGGCUUCGUGGGGCCGGAGCUGUCCAGGGCCGACAAAGGGUCCGGUGCCCCCGCUGCGAAGCUGCUCGUGCCCCAAGGCACCAAGCUGAAGGCGAUGCCGGCUGCCAAGUCCAGGCUGCAGCAUCCCACCAACAGGGCCUCACAGCUGGCACAGCCAUCCACCGGGCCCAAGGCUCCUCCCCAGGACAAAGCGACAGAAACUGCUGGCAAGGCUGGGGGCCGCAGACAGCUCCCUCGGAGGCUUCCCACCGCGAUUCCUGUUGUGGCUUCUCACUCCCGAUUGCAGACAGCGGGAAAAGUGGCUUCCUGCAAGCGCACUUACCUAGAAUCGACUCCUCAGGAACCGGUGUGCAAUAGGACCCGAGAGCUGAUGGAAAAUGCUUGUCUGGAGAAGCUCUGUGUCCUGACUGAGGAGAGGCUGGUAGCUGUGGCAGUUACAUUUCUAGUGAAAACUCCUUUUACAGAUAAAGCUGACCAGACGUGGGUGUGUGUGGGGUCCCCUUAUCUCAGCAAACUGUGCCCUGGACCUGCUCCAGGCUGUGGGGAUGCAGCCUGUGCUGUGCAGCCUGCAGGUUGCCAGCUGUCCCAGGAGUUGGAGCACGUAAAGAAAGAGCUGGAGCGAGUGAAGGGCGAGCUAGGACCAGCUGAGCACAGUGACUUGCUUCCUGCUCCCAGCUGAUAAGACUGCUCAGUGUGAAGCUCAUCGUCGGACGAUCUCCUCCUUGCAGGCUCAGCUCAGAGCAGCAGGAAUCUGUCCAGAAGAUGCUGCAGGGGAUGAGAACAGCGUCUAGGGGAGAGACUGACAGCUUCCCCCAGCACACGGGACAGACGGCAGCGACUUGUCCAGGCACCUGAGCUGCUGGGCAGUGGUAUUUAGAGCGCUUGCACAAAUGGAUUUUUUAACUCCUUGUAUUUAAAAUAAACGUGUCUUUUCUUGCA